UCGGGAAUUUUGGGCAAUGGGCGCAAGCCUGAUCCAGCCAUGCCGCGUGAGUGACGAAGGUCUUCGGAUUGUAAAGCUCUUUUGGCGGGGACGAUAAUGACGGUACCCGCAGAAUAAGCCCCGGCUAACUUCGUGCCAGCAGCCGCGGUAAUACGAAGGGGGCUAGCGUUGUUCGGAAUUACUGGGCGUAAAGCGCACGUAGGCGGAUCUAUAAGUCAGGGGUGAAAUCCCGGGGCUCAACCUCGGAACUGCCUUUGAUACUGUAGAUUUCGAGUCCGGAAGAGGUGAGUGGAAUUCCUAGUGUAGAGGUGAAAUUCGUAGAUAUUAGGAAGAACACCAGUGGCGAAGGCGGCUCACUGGUCCGGUACUGACGCUGAGGUGCGAAAGCGUGGGGAGCAAACAGGAUUAGAUACCCUCGUAGUCCCUGAGCGGGCUGGCAAGGCGCAU
rnacentral:rRNA from 1 species